AGAUUUUUUGAGAUACGCAUUCUAAGCAUUUGCUUUCUUUGCAGAGAUAGAGAACAGAGAGAGAGAGAAGUAGCUCUUCAGGAUUUUCGUUCUGGAAAGUGUCCGGUUCUUGUGGCAACUUCAGUGGCAGCAAGAGGUCUGGAUAUUGAAAAUGUUCAACAUGUUAUUAAUUUUGAUCUUCCUUCCACCAUUGAAGAGUAUGUACACCGAAUUGGACGAACUGGUCGUUGUGGAAAUACAGGCAAAGCAGUUUGCUUCUUUGAUAACACUUCAGAUGGCCAUCUUGCACAAUCUCUUGUUAAAGUGCUUUCAGAUGCCCAGCAGGAAGUUCCUGUGUGGUUGGAAGAAAUUGCUUUUGGUUUUCAAGGACAAAAAUUCUUUACACCACCUAAUAUCCAGAAGAAUUACAGAGGCAGAGGCAACAUGGAGCCGGAGAGAAUGGAGAUGCUAUAUUCUGGAAGUGAACAGGAGUCAUGGGAUUAGAACUACUUCAGUAUCAAGCUAGAUUGCAUUUUGUUGUGCUUUAAGUGAACUGUUGCACUUCAUGUUCCUUAGUGUUGAGCUUCAGAAGCACAUUCUUCUUUAAUGUUUAAAAGAGUAGUUCGUAUUAUAUGCUGAAACUUUCAGUAGUGUAUAUAUACUCUGUUAUGAUGAACCCAGUGAUGAUUAUCACUUAAUGUAGGAAGUCAGAAGUAAUUUUUUAGGAAACACUUCAGGUAUUAAGCGUUAAAACUUUAGGUAUGUGUUGGAUGUUUGGUAGCUUGCAUGCUGUGAAAAGAUGGGGGUUUUGCAAGCAGAAAAUAGUAGAUCCCUUUAGCUUACUAGUAUGUUACAAACUUUUGCCUUGGAAGAUAGUCUUGCAAAGAGUUAGUUUGGGAAGAGCUUUAGGAAAUGGCCCAUCUAAACUUUGCUCCUUUUUGUAAUGGAUCAGUUAUAAAACUAAUUUAGUGAUGAGAUCACGUAAGGAUCUCUUACACAUCGUUCAAGCAGUU
rnacentral:lncRNA from 14 species